rnacentral:rRNA from 1 species
AAAAGUUGCCAAACCUUCUUGUCAAAGCCUGAUCUUGCCAGAUCUCAAAACUAAACAAGUCUGGGCCUGGUUAGCACUUAGAUGGGAGACUGCUGUGAAUACCAGGGACCACAGUGG